rnacentral:rRNA from 1 species
CAGCCGUAAACAAUGUGCGUUAGGUGUGUCGGUAACCACGCGUUACUGAUGCGCCGAAGAGAAAUCGUGAAACGCACCACCUGGGAAGUACGGUCGCAAGGCUGAAACUUAAAGGAAUUGGCGGGGGAGCACCACAACAGGUGGAGCCUGCGGUUUAAUUGGAUUCAACGCCGGACAUCUCACCGGAUAAGACAGCUGAAUGAUUGUCAAUCUGAAGACUCUACUUGAUGAUCUGAGAGGAGGUGCAUGGCGUCAGUGACU